rnacentral:rRNA from 1 species
GACGAACGCUGGCGGCGUGCUUAACACAUGCAAGUCGAACGGAAAGGCUCCAGCUUGCUGGAGUACUCGAGUGGCGAACGGGUGAGUAACACGUGGGUAAUCUGCCCUGCACUCUGGGAUAAGCCUGGGAAACUGGGUCUAAUACUGGAUAUGACCUUUCUCCUUAUGGGGUUUGGUGGAAAGUUUUUCGGUGUAGGAUGGGCCCGCGGGCUAUCAGCUUGUUGGUGGGGUGAUGGCCUACCAAGGCGACGACGGGUAGCCGGGCCGAGAGGGGGAGCGGGCACACUGGGACAGAGAUACGGGCCAGAGUCCUACGGGGGGGAGAAGUGGGGAAAAUUGCACAAUGGGCGGAAGCCUGAUGCAGCAACGCCGCGGGCGGGAGGAGGGCCCUUGGGGUGUAAAACGCUUUUGCCGGUGACGAAGCGUGAGUGACGGUAACGGGGAAAGAAGCACCGGCUAACUACGUG